CCUACGGGUGGCUGCAGUGGGGAAUAUUGGACAAUGGGGGGAACCCUGAUCCAGCCAUGCCGCGUGUGUGAAGAAGGCCCUCGGGUUGUAAAGCACUUUCAGUGAGGAAGAACGCCUGGUGGUUAAUACCCAUCAGGAAAGACAUCACUCACAGAAGAAGCACCGGCUAACUCCGUGCCAGCAGCCGCGGUAAUACGGAGGGUGCGAGCGUUAAUCGGAAUUACUGGGCGUAAAGCGCGCGUAGGUGGCUUGAUAAGCCGGUUGUAAAAGCCCCGGGCUCAACCUGGGAACGGCAUCCGGAACUGUCAAGCUAGAGUGCAGGAGAGGAAGGUAGAAUUCCCGGUGUAGCGGUGAAAUGCGUAGAGAUCGGGAGGAAUACCAGUGGCGAAGGCGGCCUUCUGGACUGACACUGACACUGAGGUGCGAAAGCGUGGGUAGCAAACAGGAUUAGAUACCCUUGUAGUC
rnacentral:rRNA from 1 species